CAAACUUCUGACCAAUCGCAACACGGCGUACUGAGCUCCUGACUCUGUGACGUAGCUCUGCUUCGCUGUAGCUUAGCUCCAAUGUGUUUCCAAGGUGAUCAAUCUUCAUUUUACAGUUUUUUUGCACAGUAAAGCUCAUGUGCACUUCUGUUUUUCCGGGAAUUUGGUAAAAACCAAAAAGUCCAAAUGUUUCCCUUAAACGGAGACGGGACCGGCUGAAUCUCUGAUUUUUGCAGUUUCCUCCGCGCAUGCGUUCCGUCUCCAUGGCGACGUGAGAACGUUGCCUCAGACAGCGGAUUUAUUUCACUGUAAAAAUUUCUACACUGAUUUUAGGACGUUUUUAAUCGAUUCUGAAUGAACGUAGAGUUGAACUCGUGUCUGUGUUUGUCCUGCCUUCGUUUUGAAAGCUGCUGACAGCUGUUAUUUGUAUUUCUCGUUCGCGCUGCCCUCAGAUGUCGUCCUCGAUGUCCAAAUGUCGGGUUGACGGCUGCAAAAUACAGAGGAACUGGGUAAUUACUGGCUGUGCACUGACAGAAGAGGAUUUGUCGAGCACUCGCUCCAGAACUAAUGGCACCCUGAGUGCCGCUUCGCCUCUCAGCACCUCUUUCCUGUUUCAAAAACUCUGAAUUCCCAGAACGUUCCCGUUGCGUUUUCUCAUGUGGGAAAUUGGCUUCAGUGAGACCCGGAACACAAACAACCGUCCGGAGGAGCCAAUCCCCAGAGAGCACUUCCUGUUCCUCCAGAGCAGGGCGGACAUGUUGCCGGAACGGUCCUGAGGGAAAACCCGGACAGGCCACAUGCUUUAAUAAAGCAUCUGGAUCAUUUA